rnacentral:misc_RNA from 1 species
AAGUCGUAACAAGGUAACCGUAGGUGAACCUGCGGUUGGAUCAUCAGUGUCACGCAACGAGUAUGAUUGGGACUUGGUCGGCAACUACGAUUGGGAAUUCAUUUCGAUCGAGGGUGUUGGACUUGUCCUGGUUGUGCAAGUCGCUGAACCAUUUGUGCACCAUGUUGUAUCUUGUCGUUGUUGUUUCGUACUUUGAAGAAGGUUUAUCCAUCUUGGAGUCGGACAACACGACAAAACAAAAACAAAACAAUGACUAAAACAGAGACACGACAAAAAAGAUAACUUUUGACAACGGAUCUCUUGGCUCUC